GUGCCAGCCGCCGCGGUAAUACCGGCAGCCCGAGUGAUGGCCGCUGUUAUUGGGCCUAAAGCGUCUGUAGCUGGCCGCACAAGUCCGUCGGGAAAUCCGCCCGCUCAACGGGCGGCCGUCCGGCGGAACCUGUGUGGCUUGGGGCCGAACGACCCGAGGGGUACGUCCGGGGUAGGAGUGAAAUCCUGUAAUCCUGGACGGACCGCCGGUGGCGAAAGCGCCUCGGGAGGACGGACCCGACGGUGAGGGACGAAAGCCAGGGUCUUGAACCGGAUUAGAUACCCGGGUAGUCC
rnacentral:rRNA from 1 species